rnacentral:rRNA from 1 species
AUAUCAAUAAGCGGAGGAAAAGAAACCAACAGGGAUUGCCUCAGUAACGGCGAGUGAAGCGGCAACAGCUCAAAUUUGAAAUCUGGCUCUUUCAGGGUCCGAGUUGUAAUUUGUAGAAGAUGCUUUGGGUGAGGCUCCGGUCUAAGUUCCUUGGAACAGGACGUCAUAGAGGGUGAGAAUCCCGUACGUGACUGGAUGCCUAUGCUCAUGUGAAGCUCUUUCGACGAGUCGAGUUGUUUGGGAAUGCAGCUCAAAAUGGGUGGUAUAUUCCUUCUAAAGCUAAAUACCGGCCAGAGACCGAUAGCGCACAAGUA